GAUGAACGCUGGCGGCGUGCUUAACACAUGCAAGUCGAACGGAAAGGCCCAAGCUUGCUUGGGUACUCGAGUGGCGAACGGGUGAGUAACACGUGGGUGAUCUGCCCUGCACUUCGGGAUAAGCCUGGGAAACUGGGUCUAAUACCGGAUAGGACGAUGGUUUGGAUGCCAUUGUGGAAAGUUUUUUCGGUGUGGGAUGAGCUCGCGGCCUAUCAGCUUGUUGGUGGGGUAAUGGCCUACCAAGGCGUCGACGGGUAGCCGGCCUGAGAGGGUGUACGGCCACAUUGGGACUGAGAUACGGCCCAGACUCCUACGGGAGGCAGCAGUGGGGAAUAUUGCACAAUGGGCGCAAGCCUAAUGCAGCGACGCCGCGUGGGGGAUGACGGCCUUCGGGUUGUAAACUCCUUUCGCUAGGGACGAAGCGUUUUUGUGACGGUACCUGGAGAAGAAGCACCGGCUAACUACGUG
rnacentral:rRNA from 1 species